CCUGGCUCUGUGGACAACAUGGCUGCGCCCGCGCUAGGGCCAGCUGGUAGACACUGUGCCGGGCUGGGUUGCGUCCUUUUGCUACCGCUGGUAUUGCUGCUGCGCGGGGCGGCAGGCGACGAGGAGUCCGGAGCCGGGGCUUGCGCGGCGUCCUUCGCAGGCUCCUGCGGCUGCGGCGCGCCGCAGCGGCCCGGGACCCAUGGCAGCUCGGCAGCGGCGCACCGAUACUCGCGGGAGGCGAACGUUCCGGGCCCUGUCCCCGGAGAGCGCCCGCUUGCCUCCCCUAAGAUGGUCCCCAUUCCUGCUGGAGUAUUCACAAUGGGCACAGAUGAUCCUAAGAUACAGCAGGAUGGGGAAGCCCCUGCCCGGAGAGUCAUGAUCGAUGCCUUUUACAUGGAUGCCUAUGAAGUCAGUAAUGCUGAAUUUGAGAAGUUUGUGAACUCAACAGGCUAUUUGACAGAGGCUGAGAAGUUUGGUGACUCAUUUGUCUUCGAAGGCAUGUUGAGUGAGCAAGUGAAGACUGACAUCCAACAGGCAGUGGCAGCUGCUCCCUGGUGGUUACCUGUUAAAGGCGCUAACUGGAGACACCCAGAAGGGCCCGACUCUACUGUUGUUCACAGGCUGGAUCACCCGGUUCUCCAUGUCUCCUGGAACGACGCCGUGGCCUACUGCACGUGGGCGGGAAAGCGGUUGCCCACAGAAGCUGAAUGGGAAUAUAGCUGCCGAGGAGGCCUGGAAAAUAGGCUUUUCCCCUGGGGCAACAAACUGCAGCCAAAAGGUCAACAUUAUGCCAACGUUUGGCAGGGAGAGUUUCCUGUGAGCAACACUGGAGAGGACGGCUUCCGGGGAACUGCACCCGUCGACGCCUUUCCUCCCAAUGGUUAUGGCUUGUACAACAUAGUGGGGAACGCGUGGGAGUGGACCUCAGACUGGUGGACCGUUCACCAUUCUGCUGAAGAAAUGGUUAACCCGAAAGGCCCCCCUUCUGGGAAAGACCGGGUGAAGAAAGGUGGAUCCUACAUGUGCCAUAAGUCCUACUGCUAUAGGUAUCGCUGUGCUGCUCGGAGCCAGAACACACCCGACAGCUCCGCUUCAAAUUUGGGAUUCCGCUGUGCAGCAGACCGCCUGCCCACCGUGGGCUAACAGGCAGGAGGAGCCUUUCGUAAAUCCAAGAAGAAGGGGGUCCAGCCUGUAUUCAGCUUGCCUCAGAACUUUGAACAAUCCCAUGCAAAGAAGUUCCCACCCUGAGGUGGGCUACACACCUGUCCAAUGGCCAAAGGAACCGUCUCACAAGACCAAAUCACUGACCGGUGUCAGUGCCCGUGCUUUAUUGUGGGGGGUGGAGUGGAAGAUGGCUGGGUAUAUGUGAAACAUUCAUCCGCUGGAAAUAAUGAAGAUCAAAGCUUCUCGCCAUCUUCACUGUCCAUCAGGUUAAGAAAUCUUCCUGAAUAGUCAUAAGAGAGUUCUUCUUCUGGCAAAAUGUCUUUGGCUGCAAACAGGGCCAACUUAGGUACCAUGGAGUCAAUUCGGACAGGAAUCAUUAACAGAUGAUUCCUUUUAAACUCAAGUCUGACUGAUGGCAGUUUUCUAACCAGGAGAGCAUUAUUAUUCCUUGUUGAUUUGAUCUGCAUAUGGAUAGGUAUGGAAAAAUACUUUUAUCUGCUUAUUUUUAAGAUUUUGGGGAAUCUAGUGAUAUAUUUUUUAAUUCUGCAACCCAAACUUGAUGCCCAAUCUGAGAUCCUUUAGGGACUUAGACUACAAAUGGUAGCUGAUUCUAAAUGAGCUGCAGACACCUUACAAAGAACAACAGAGACCUCUGGAUAAAUUUCUUGUUUAAAGAGAAUAUUUUUUUCCUUGAUGGAUGUAAUCAUUGACCCUGAGACCAAUAAUCAUUGCAAACCAUUUGAUCUACCAAGACUCCACUUUCUCCUCCACCAGUAAAAUACUAUUCCAGAAAGACAGUUUACCUGACUUAGACAAAUGACUAUACCUGACUUAGAAAAAUGACUACAGUAAAGAAUAAUCUUUUGAAAUCCUUGGUUUAAUUUAUCAUGAUUAUCAAAUUAUUCAUCUUUUCUGGUUUAUAACUACAUAUUUAAAAAUUAUUUGUUCUUUUCAGAAACAAUCUGAUGUUAGUAACCUGCCGUUCUAUUCAAAUAUUUAUAUGCCAAGCAAACUGUUAAACUUUGAGUAUCUGAAAGAUUAUGGUAAGUGCGUUACAAACUGGGAGUCAGUUGACCUGAGCUUAAAUUCUCCCGAUUUGUAACUCUUUUCAUAGUUUGUACCCCACUUCCUGGAACAAAGCCCAGGACCAUGCUGAUCCAAAAAUGGUGUUACCCUGAGGGUUGUUUGUGCCUACACUAAGCCAAGGGGAGGUCAAAGCUUGGAGGAGAUGCUGACCAGAGUGGACAUAUGUUUUUACCUACACAGCAUCUACUCCUCUUUCUUCUGAUAACAGCAUCCCAGUUCUUCCCAGGGGAAUCCUCCCUGCUCUUAUUCUCAUUAGUUUGGAUGGGGGUCCAGCUUGGGCUGAGACCUAGACCAGCUAAUGAAAACAUCAUAGGCCCCUAUUACCAGUGUUUUGUUCAUGGACGGGCACAUGACUUAAGCCAGACCAAUGAAAUUUAAUUCUGGGAAGUAUGCUGAAACAAUUGGGGAAGAAGUCUUUCUCAUUCCACUGGGAUUGCUAAACCAGUAGAGGACACACCUAACAUUUCCAAGUGCUACUACAUAGAUAAGAUCUACUGAGUGUGCUGCCAACCACUGGAGAAGGGAGUAGAGAUGCCAAGUGGGGUGGUGACUGGUAUCUGAUGAUACUGUUUGAAUCCUUGGAUCCAGACAUGCCUAUAGGUACCAUUCCUGGGCUUUUCUGUUAUGUGAGGCAAUUCCUUCCCUUUUUUGCUUGGGCCAGUUUGUGUUGUGUUCUUGCGACCAAAUGAGUCCUGACAGACACAACCAGGGUAGAAGCUGAGAAAGAAUGGCUCCAGUGAAAGGCAGGCAAGUUUAGCCAAAGAUGUAAAUGACCAAUGAGGUCUCCAACUAGGAGGUAAGACUGGAGCAAACUGUGGAGGCCAGAGAGGAAAGUUCUACGACUGUGCCCUGAAACACUGGAAAGCAGAGGAGAGCUUCUUAAUGCAGAACAUAGAAUGUCCAACAGGAGACACAUACAGAGCCAGACUCUUUUUUUGCAUUGUUUCUUUAGGCAAGUGACUUUGCUAAGCUCUGGGUUAACCAGUAACUAGUUGCCUUUGAGUUGAAUCCAACUCAUGGUGACCGCAUGUGUGUCAAGGAACUGUGCUCCAUAGGGUUUUCAAUGGCUGAUUUUUUC